ACCCAGAGAAAGGAUAGAGGAUAUACAACCGCUGCUCAUUAUUGAAGAUCUCCUUUACAUCAAGUAGCAGAAGCUUGUGGGUUUUGGAGCAGAAGAAUCAGGGACCUAGUCCUGGGUCCUCAGCGAAGGAAAAGCAAUAUCGAAGAGGAAGAGCCCUUUCUUAAUGUCCAUAAUAACAUGGGAGGAGGUUUACUGCACGUGAACUGGGGGAGAACUGUUUAAUGCGUGACGCACUCACUGUGGGAGAAAAGGGUGAUAGUUGGAGUUUGUUCCCACCUUCCACUGCUCUGUGAGCAGUAAAGAAUGCAAUGGCAGCCAACGUGCUUUUCCUGAGAGAAGCAGGAUGGGGUCAUCUUUACAAGGGCACAGUUUGGCUUCCUCCACAUGCAGCUUUGGAGCAGAAGCAGAGCACAGGAGUUGUUGGACUGUGGGAUUGAUGGGGUAUAGCAACAUGUAAAUUUAGAUGAGGGUUUACUGGAAAAAAAUGAAAGACUUUUCCCAAGGGUUUUCUUUCUAGCUUUCUCUCCUCUGUCUUGGUGCCUGCAAGCCUCUUUGAGAAAUCAGCAACUGUUUCUGUAUAAGGUGUGACCAAACAACGUCUAACCAAAUGCCGAGAGACAAUGAGUCAAAUUGGGUAAUGUUUCAUCUUCACUGAUUCCCUGAAAAUGGGCAUAAAAAUCCCAUGCUGUUUGGAAAUGUAUCCAGGGUCCUCCAACCCACAGUGCACGUCAGAGCAAUUGUCACGCUGUUCAAGAACCAUCCUCCUUGCUGUCUUCACUGGCAUUUACUAGUUCCUUGAGAACUUCAGAUUAUGUUUCCCAAGGGCAAGGGCGUAGUCAUUGUUCUACAUCACCCUACAAUUAGUGCGGACAAGGAAAAAAAACAACCAACCCCCACCGUAUAAGUCUGUGAGGAGGCAGAGGAAAUAUGACACUUCUUUUGCUAAUUAGAGACCAGAAUGUACAUUGCUGAUUCCAUCAGUGAGCCUACGGAGGUGCUGGAACUUUCAUCUGAAAGUGAUGCUUGCUAUGAACAAGUCACUUUUUUCUUAUUAAAAGUAAUUCUCCAGGCUUCCCACUUCUAUUCUAUACUCCCUAUUCUCUCUCUUUAUUAUAUUCAGUUAUAUCCUCUUCCUAUGGCCUGAUACUGAGAGAAGUAACACUCAUCUACCAUUACAGUUGGGUUCUUCCAGUCACCCGUGGCAGUUGUCAAUCCUCAGCACCUUUCUGAGAUCAAGAUCCUUAGUCUAUCUGCUCUAUAAGGCCCAUAUCUUGUGUGGUGCUGUGCUCGACUGCUGUUGAUUUAAAUCUAACCCCUAAUUCAAUGACUUCAGUGGGAAUUGCAAGUGUGCUGGUUCAGGCCUUACUUCUUCCUGGCUUUUGCUGCUGUUCUAUACCACGCCUUCCUUGUCUUAUCUCCAUCUGCCAUUUUAUGAUAUAUGUGUAACCCCCUAUACUGAGCCCUUGUAAUGA